rnacentral:rRNA from 1 species
GACAGAGGGUGCAAACGUUGUUCGGAAUUACUGGGCGUAAAGCGUGUGUAGGCGGUCCUAUAAGUCGGGUGUGAAAGCCCCGGGCUCAACCCGGGAAGUGCACUCGAAACUGCAGGGCUGGAGUACUGGAGAGGUUGGUGGAAUUCUCGGUGUAGAGGUGAAAGUCGUAGAUAUCGAGAGGAACACCGGCGGCGAAGGCGGCCAACUGGACAGAUACUGACGCUGAGACACGAAAGCGUGGGGAGCAAACAGG